UCAGAACGAACGCUGGCGGCAGGCCUAACACAUGCAAGUCGAGCGCACCCCUUCGGGGGCGAGCGGCGGACGGGUUAGUAACGCGUGGGAACAUACCCUUUACUACGGAAUAGCCUCGGGAAACUGAGAGUAAUACCGUAUGUGCCCUUCGGGGGAAA
rnacentral:rRNA from 1 species